rnacentral:rRNA from 1 species
GAUGAACGCUGGCGGCGUGCCUAAUACAUGCAAGUCGAGCGAACGGACGAGAAGCUUUCUCCUCUGACGUUAGCGGGGGGCGGGUGAGUAACACGUGGAUAAGCUACCUAUAAGACUGAGAUAGCUUCGGGGGACCGUGGCGAAUCAAUGAUACAAUAUAGAAUCGCGUGGUUUCUUAGUAAAAGACGAUAUUGAUGUCACUUGUAGAUGGAUCCGCGCCGCAUUAGCGAGUGUGUAUGGUAACGGCACACCAAGACAACGAUGCGUAGCCGACCUGAGAGGGUGGUCGGCCCCACCGGACCUGUGACACGGUCCAGACUCCUACGGGACGCAGCAGUAGGGAAUCGUCCGCAAGUGGCUAAAGCCUGACGGGGCACCGCCGCGCGAGGUACGAAGGUCCUGGGAUCGUAAAACUCUGUUACUAGUGAAGAACAAAUGUCUAAGUAACGUGGCACGUUUUGACGGUACCGAAUCAGAAAGCAACGGCUAACUACGUG